AGCUGGCACCAACAACUAGUGCCGCUCCCACACAAUGAGCUGCUGCUUGAGCCCCUGCACUAGCCUAAUUGCAGGACGCCUCAAGGGUGCUACAUGUCUUCACCAUAAUCUAACAUUUCCAGAUGCUCCAUCAGUUGAACAUGUGGACAAGAUUCUGGCUCUGUGCUUGACGCAAAUUUUUCAGUUCUGCCAUGAGCUCAACGAGACGAGUAGAGCAUAGAGAUGCAAAUAUGAAAGCAGCCAAGGAACAAGGGAGGCACCCUUGCAUGCUUUGCCAUAAGGAAGUCGAAAAGUCUAAAGAUUGAAAAAUGAAGCUCCGGCAUUGUCUCUCUGCUUUGUUGGCUACCUAUCCUUCUGCUAAGUCUUCAACUCCAUCGGCGCCAUGGACAUAACUGUUCUUGUAACAUGUGGUUUGCAACUGAAGCUGCUUGCAAUUAUAUGUGGAGCAGCUGACUCAUAAAUCAUACCUGUACAUACAUGGGUGUCUAUAUCUCUUGACAUCAGGGUGGAUCAAGAUAAGAAAUUGGAAGAAAUAAUUAAAGAAGAAGCAAGAACAUCACAAUCAACUGGUUGUUCAGGGAACAGUAUAGUUGAGAGAUAGGAAGGUAAAGUUCUUUGGUAUGCAGUCAUUUGCCCUUAUACCUAUUCGUUUCUACUGCCCCGGCUGCCUGUACGUACUAAGCUUUUUCGUGUUGUGGUAAUUAUAACUUUUCAAAGAGGCGGAAGAUUGACACGAUGAUAAGGUGCCUUGACAAACAACACCAUAAGAAAUUCUGAAAGAGAGGUUUGGUAUAUCUGGACUUGAUCCUUAUAUCUUCUUGAAAAUCGGUGCGUAGGAAAUGAAUAUGUGCUUGAUUCGUAACUAGAAAUGAAGCAGCUCCAAGGUAGGAUCCAUGAAGCUGCAUGCUCUUUUUAGUUCCAUAGAUUAAGUUGAUCAUGUUAAUAGGCUGCCGGUUUAUUAGUACUGUAGUUCUUACACAGACAGCUGAUGGAUCAUGCCAUGAGUUCCAUGAAAAUCUUACUAGUUGUGCGACGAAUCUUUCCAUGAAUUCCAUGAAAAGCUUGGAGCUUUCUUUUAUACUGGGAAAAAAGUAGCAUCUAUAUUCACUAUAUUCAGAGGCCAAGAGAAAUUGGUGGCUACAAGUAGCAACUUGUUUAGUUAAUAUAUGUUCCAUACUAUGACAAUGGUCUGAGCUCUAUGACAACGGCCAUGUAAGUGGCAGUGCUCAUUUACAUGAAAUGUGCGAUACGAUAUCUUGACCAGUGCUUGCCCAUUCUUCAAAAUUGGAACUCAAGUAUAGCAUAUCUUUCUCCAAAUCCGUAGAUAACUAGAGUUCUUAGACUUGCUGAGGUCCUGUUUAAGAACCUCCGCAUGGACAUGAAAGAUGUAAAACCAAAUUCCUUCAUUAAAGGCUGAUGAUGUGAAGUUGAGGGAAAUCCACACUUUUCAAUCAAAGUUGAUGUUGCAUCUCAAACCCCAUUGGCUGUAGCAGUCUCUUCAGACAUCAACCCCCCAAUAAACCACAAGGAACUGCAGCCUGAAGUCAAUAACACUUCCCGUGUCAUGAGGCUUCGUAUUAUACUGAAUCAGCUUUUUUCAUUGAUUGCGCACGAUG